rnacentral:rRNA from 1 species
UACGUAGGGUGCAAGCGUUAAUCGGAAUUACUGGGCGUAAAGAGUGUGUAGGCGGUGUUCUAAGUCUGUUGUGAAAUCUCCCGGCUUAACUGGGAGGGUGCGGCGAAAACUGGAAUGCUAGAGGAUGGGAGAGGUAAGCGGAAUUCCUGGUGUAGCGGUGAAAUGCGUAGAUAUCAGGAGGAACACCUGUGGUGUAGACAGCUUACUGGACCAUUUCUGACGCUGAGACACGAAAGCGUGGGUAGCAAACAGG